rnacentral:rRNA from 1 species
UACGAAGGGGGCUAGCGUUGCUCGGAAUCACUGGGCGUAAAGCGCACGUAGGCGGACUCUUAAGUCAGGGGUGAAAUCCUGGAGCUCAACUCCGAAAUGGCAUUGGAAACUACCCUGCUAGAGGAUUGGAGGGGGGACUGGAAUACUUGGUGUAGCAGUGAAAUGCGUAGAUAUCAAGUGGAACACCAGUGGCGAAGGCGAGUCCCUGGACAAUACCUGACACUGAGGCACGAAAGCUAGGGGAGCAAACAGG